GGACCCUUGGCCGGAAGGUGAAAACAGAAGUGAUUCUUUUCCCAUCCAGGCUUCUGGACCACCUGACCUCUACCCACAGAGCUCUUGACACCCACCAACCUUCAGGGUCAGAAGUCCUGGAUUACUCUUCCACAGGUCCUAAAAGACAAGAGUAGCAUCUGAGACCCAAGGCAAAUUGCACGGGAUGAAGAAUUCUUCCUCUCCCUGGAUACCUUGCAUGGACUCUUCACCAGGACCACCUCCAAAGACAUAGAUCCUACUGGAGCAAGGAGUUUGUAUGGGUCAAGUUUGUCUAGUAGUCACAGUAUAGUCAAGGAUGGCUUUGAACACCUGACCUUCUGUGAUGUCUCUUUUUGGUUGUCAACUUGACUACGUCUGGAAUGAACUAAAAUCCAGAAAUGGAAGGCACACUUGUGAUCCGGAUCUUGAGACAAGAAGACAACUUGCAUUUGAUCCAGGUCGUGGAAGGUACACACCUUUAAUCCAGACCUCAAGGUGAGGAGACACACCUUUCUUCUUUGAUUCUUCUGCGGGAAGUCUAUAUAAGGACAAGGGAAGAAGGAAUGGUGCCCUUCUUCACCUGCUUGCCCUCACCUUGUCAGCACCUCCACUCCUGCCCUGGCAUUGGAGCAACUUCCUCAGGAUUCCAGCAGAUACAGAAGACCAGCUGGGACAUCCAUCCAGCCUGGUGGGACUGAGCAGCUACUGCUAGAUUCUUGGACUUUCUGUUCACAACUGGCCAUUGGUGGAAUGUAGCUUGUAAGUCAUUCCAAAAAAAUUCGUGUGUGUGUGUGUGUGUGUGUGUGUGUGUGUGUGUGUAUCAUAGAUAGAGGAUAGAUAGAUAGAUUCAUUCCGUAAGUUCUGUGACUCUCGAGAAUCCUCACCAAUGAACCCUCCUAUAUCCCACUUACAGCUUACCUUUUGACUGAACUGUAUUUAUUCAGGGUUGAGGCAGGGUCUCAUUAUGUAGGCCAACUCCUAGGCAUCUGCUUGCCUCUAUGUCCUAAGUGCUGCUACUAAAGGUGUGAACCACCUUGCCUGGCAAAGCCUAGAUUUUUACUCAUUUCUACCAGAGCCUAAUAACCAGGACAUUCUGAGGACGAUUUCAACACUGGCAGUCCUCAUUGGUUACCCUUGUGCCAGAUUUUUGUCUUGUUAUUGCCUCUGGGUCUGCUCAAACCGUCGCUGUAGGUGUUACAUGUUGUCAAUAAAAUGUAUGAAUCAUAGCUCACAUAGGCACUCUCAUGCAAGGCUUGGUACUGUCUGCAGCCUGUGACUCAUGCCUUGUCUUGUAUUUGGCCCUUGGUGGAUAUGAGUAACAAUUUCUUCUGACUCGAUGGCUACACUUUAAAGUGCUGUGUCAUAUACUCAACUCUUGUCAAAGGCUCUGCCAGUUUUCAGUACCACCGACAGUGUACAUCCGCGGAGGUAUUGGACAUCAUUAGUCCUUUGAAAGUUUUUAAGGAAGUAUGGCUCCCUACCAACUCUGGAUAUUACCGAUUUUUACAGUAUUGUCAUAAACUAGGAGUGGUAGAAUUUGCCUGCAAUCCUAGCCCUUAAGAAGCGGAAGCAAAGGGAUUGCUCUAAGUUCCAAGCUGGGCUGCUGUCUAAAAACACUCCCACCCCAAGACCAAACACAGGGGGUGAUGCCUGGAAGCCUAGGACUCAGGAGGCUGAGGCAGGAGGAUCCCUAUGAGUUUGAGGUCAGCAAAGGCUGCACAGUGAGUUCAAGGUCAGAGUGUUGGGACUAUAGGCCUAUGCUAUCAAACCUGACUGCUUUCCUUAUUGGUUCAUAUCUAUGUAUGUAAUGACUAAAAUUCUUUUUUUCUGGUAUAUAUAUAAACAUUCAUUUUGGGGAUGGGCAUGGAGGCAGAGGUAGGUAGAUGUUUGUGAGUCUGAGGUCAGCCUGGUUGAUUGGAUGGAUAAUUCAAGGUUGGUCAGGACUACUUACCUAGAACCUGUUUUGUUUUUUUUUUUUUAAACUUGGGUUGAGGAGAUAGUGGUAAGGCAUUUGCGUACAAGCAAGAGGACCAGAGUUCCGGUCUUUAGAAUCUGUGUAAAAGCCAGGUGGGAGUGGCAACUUGCCUGCGAUUUCAGACUCAGAAGAUACAGACAGGCUAUAGCACAAAUAAGAAAAACCCAGAGACAGAUACUGGGUUUAAGCUGAAGAUCCGAAAAGCAAAGUAGCCAAGUCACCAGAGAGUUCUUACCUCUACCAAAGUUCAG